GACGAACGCUGGCGGCGUGCUUAACACAUGCAAGUCGAACGGAAAGGCCCUGCUUUUGUGGGGUGCUCGAGUGGCGAACGGGUGAGUAACACGUGAGUAACCUGCCCUUGACUUUGGGAUAACUUCAGGAAACUGGGGCUAAUACCGGAUAGGAGCUCCUGCUGCAUGGUGGGGGUUGGAAAGUUUCGGCGGUUGGGGAUGGACUCGCGGCUUAUCAGCUUGUUGGUGGGGUAGUGGCUUACCAAGGCUUUGACGGGUAGCCGGCCUGAGAGGGUGACCGGCCACAUUGGGACUGAGAUACGGCCCAGACUCCUACGGGGGGCAGCAGUGGGGAAUAUUGCACAAUGGGCGGGCGCCUGAUGCAGCAACGCCGCGUGCGGGAUGACGGCCUUCGGGUUGUAAACCGCUUUCGCCUGUGACGAAGCGUGAGUGACGGUAAUGGGUAAAGAAGCACCGGCUAACUACGUG
rnacentral:rRNA from 1 species